UUCACUCUGUAUUCAUUACGUGUGUCUUCUCAAUAAAUCUUGUUACUCAUUCUGAUCAAGACUCAGAGACUCUGAAUAUUUCUUUCUUCCUGUCAUUAUUUUUCCACCACAAUUUGGCGUCACGGAACAGGAUGAGCAUGGUCUUGCGAUGGAGGGGGAGAGACUAGCACCUGCCGAGGACGCUCUCCAGCAAAACAGCUGGGCCCAAGAAGCAAGGGAAAAAUUCCACAGAAAAAAGGACAAGUACCGCGGGGGUAAGUGCAGCCUCUCACCCCCCAUUCGCAAAAUCCAGGCCUCAUCGACAAACAUUGGUGGUGAGUGACAGGUUAACUAAUUUACUCAUUAAGGAAAUUGAAAUGUAAACAAUUGUUCUUAAAUUAAUUUACUCCCCUCCAUCCUUCCUUCAGCACUCCGCCCUGGACAGUGAAUAGUUACAUGACGGUGUACAAGACUAGCCUGGUCAUAGCGAGGCCUUUAUUGAUGUAUGUAAAUAUAUCUUUGAAGUUAAAGAGAAGACUAGCCUGGUCAUAGCGAGGCCUCUAUUGAUAGACGUGUCAUUAGAGUAAUAGGUCCCGGGACCGUGGGGAGGAGUGCAUAAAAUAAUACUAAUAGUACAGGGUACUGAUUGUGUAUUAAGCAGGGAUAGAAGAAGGAAGGUGAGACGUGAUUAUUGGGGCUAAAUUACUCUGAGUCAUUAAAAUCGAAUGAGAGAACAAAAAUGGGAUCCCAAGUAACUAAAGAAUUGAAAUUUAAUCCAAAAAUUCAUGACGCAGCUCUUUUCAAUCAAAUGAGCCAAGACUAUAUGUGUAUGUCUGUGUGUGUGUGUGUUUAUGUAGUGUUGUUCAAAGGUUUGGAAUCAUUAGCAUAUUAACCCAAUAUACAUAUAUUAAAGUAGGGCAGAAUAUUGAGCCAUGCUGGAACUGUUCAAUGUAACAUGUUUCAUUAUCUUUAUGGAAAAUGCUGUAGAAUUCUGAGGAUGGCAGUUUAGUGAAUAUGUGAGACAGCUUCAUGUUUGAGUAGUAGUGAUGAGUUAUGUACAAAUGUCCACAUUGUGAAAGUCAUCCCUGAUUGAAACAGAAAAGAGAUGAGGAUUCCAGGCUUUUGAUACAAUGUGUGUGUGUGUGUUUCUGCGUGUGUUGAAUAAAGCAGUGAGAGAGAUAGACAAAACAUCUCUUCUCUGCUAUCUUCUAUCACAUUUGGUGUGUGUGUGUGUGUGUGUGUCUGUGCGUGUGUGUAAGUGUGUAUGUUUCUAACAUUUGUCUAACUCUGAUAUUCUGUAAGCGAAUCUAAUGAUGAAUAUAAUGUGUGUGUGGCUGUGUCAGAAUCGCUCCCUAUUCCAGAAAUAGUGCACUAUAUAGUGUAAAACCAUUUUUGCAGUACUGUUUAAAACCGCAGCAGUACAUUCUGUUCCCUAUAUAGUUCACUAUGAAAAACCUAAUGCAUCACAAAAUUUAGAAAUUCCAAAAUAUACUAUAAUGCAAUGCAGUGCUGUUGUAUUAGACGUCCUCAGAGCAGGACAAACAUGGUUUAUUGUUUGGUUGUUCCAUAAUUCGUUUAGUAAAUAGAAAAUGCUACAUAGUGAAAGAGUUAAUGAGUGAGCCAUUCUGAACACAGCUUCUGUCUUCAUGUGGUUUAGGCCUUUUCUAUUAUUAUUCUUUUUUAUUGAGACUGAUUUCAGCUCAGUCUCAGCUGAAUGAGAUUUAAAGAAUACACAUAUCUAAUUUCUCUAGUGGUUCUCAUGUAUCUCAGUCUAUGCUGAUCUUUUGAUUCUCUUAAUGAGGAUGGUAGAUUUUAGAAACCAGUAAGGAAAGAUCUUACUUUCUUUGGAAAGCUUUAAUUUGACAAACUUAAUAUUGUAUCUAUUACGAGCUGCAGUGAAUUGGGUCUCUCUUUCUGACUUUUAAACAAGGAGACAUCAGAUGUUUUUUAAAAAAAUAUAUAUAUAUAUGGAACUUUCUGUUUUGCUUUCCAUAUGUUUUCUAUUUCUCGCAAUGAAGAACUUGCUUGCAUAUUCUUGGCUAUAUUUUGAGUCCCCAUCAGAGCACAACAAUAUAAUGUUAAUGUUUAUACAGUUUAGAAAUAUCAAGCAUUGUUUGGCUGGAAAUAAUUUUUGUUUUAGUUAUUUCAUGAGGCUAAACAAUUUUUAACCAUGUUAGAAUUCCUUUCAGGAUUUCUUUUUUAUUAUUAUUUUUUUUCUUUUAAGGUUUUUUUUGGAGGGAUUUUUUUUCUUUUGACUGAUUGUUGCUCAGUGCUGUUUUCUGGGUGUUUGAGAAGGCGGGGGUGGUGCUCAUCACAGGAGUUUUGACCCUCAGAGACAGGGUCCUCUGCAACAGUACUGUGAACAUCAUCUGAACCAGAGCACUUCAUGAGGAGAGUCUCAGAUGAGAGACUGUGUUUGGUCCAGCUGUCGGUCGAUGGCUGGACUGCGUCUUCACCGGACCUGCUGUGAUUGAAAUGUUACAGCACUGGUCCAGGAAACUGGUUUCAGAUCUGGAAGAACUGAGCGAUCAGAGACCGCUUCAGACAGCACCUGCUCAACCAUCAACACCACCCACCCCCAGCAGCCAAUCAGCCCAGUGGAUCCACCCCUCAGCCUGAGCCAGCAACAGAGACGAAUCAGGAAGGUCAGAGUGUUUUCAUCAACAGUGAGAGCUGUGAGGAGAAUGUGACCCUGAGUGGCAGAGAAGCUUCACUGCUGUUCUGCUGUUCUGGGACCAGUGCAUAUGAACUAGGAGACAACAAGUUAUCUGAGUGAAGUGCUGGAAACCUCUCCUCAGAUAGCCAGAAGAUCUUUACAUCCACUCUUUUCCUCUGUCUCAUCUUCUCACAGACUUUAGGACACUUAAGGACUGUCUGCUGUGUUCAUGAAGGACACAGAGCUGAACAACAUCAUGAUAAGAACCUGUUGCUCAGACAGGCUGGAGCUGAUCACGUCAUUAAAACUGGACAACAUGCUGUUAACUGGACUCUGCUGACGUAAUCAUAUUGAUAAGUUCUGUACAAUCACAUGUCAUUUGCAAAAUGUAUAACUGCUUGGAUGAAGUAUGAGGAAUUCUCUCUGGCCCUCGACUGGCUUUAUUUUCUUUCUUUCUCUCUCUCUCUCUCUCUCUCUCUCUCUCUCUCUCUCUCUUUCUUUCUUUCUUUCUUUCUUUCUUUCUUUCUCUCUCUCUCUCUGGGGCGCGAAUGUGUUGACCUAUCGAGAUUUUAUUUGUUGAUGUACUUUUACUCUUUUCUAAUAUAUAUAUCUAUUAAUUUUUGUUCCGCCAUAUGCAGAAGAAAGGCCAGUUUCCUGCAAGUUACAGUAGAUACAAUAGAGUUAGAUACUGCAUUUGGGCUA